rnacentral:lncRNA from 1 species
CUCAACCAGCCAAAAAAGAAAUAGGCAAGAAAGUGGAGACUUCUGGGUGACCUGAGGCAGAUGCAGCUGGACUGAAGAAACGCCCAUCCAGGGUUUCCUUCCAGUAAACUGAGAGCUCCGAAAGAGGUGAGCACUUUCCACCUCUCCCUGUCUCUGUGUCAUGUGACCAGAGCCUCUGCCCAACCAGCCAUACCCUCUGGCAGGCUUUCCUUUGUCCACAGGUGCUGUCAGGGAGGUGGUCUGGGUCCUAGCCUAAUUUUUGCCAUAAUUCUACAUCCAGUAUCUUCAGAGCACUGAAGGAGGUGCAGGAAGUGCAGAAAAUGCAGAAAACAAAGGAAAUGCAGUGGGGAGGGGCCUGGCUUCUGCACAUUGCAUUCACUGCUGUCUCCCCAAGGAAAGCUGUGAGAGCUGGACUGGAGAUUGGACGCAUCUGGAAGGAAAAGGAUUCUUCAGCACAAGGGGGAAUAACUCUCAAAACCGACAGGAAUGUAUGAUGGCUCUCUCCUUAAAGCCAGAAACAAAAGAAAGAUGACUGUUAUCAAUACUCUGUUCUUGAAAGUUCUCUAUCAAUCAGCUAAGAAAGUGAAAGAAGUGUGAUCGUGAAGAAGUAGGAAAAAGUACCAAGACUUGCUGACAGAGGGACAUAAAAAUCCACUUGAAUAAUUAAAGAGAUAUACAUAGGCAAUGGAACAGUUAUUGCCAAGAUAAUCAAUUCUCCCAAAACUAAUUUACAAAUUGAAUGUGAUUUUAAUGAAAACACAAGAUUAUUUUUUGAACUUGCGAAAUAGACCCUAAGUUCAUCUGAAAGAAUAAGUGCCCAAAGAGAGCCAAGAAAUUUUUGAGGAAACAGAAAUAAUAUCAGUGUGUCUGGAGGUGGUUCCUUCUGGUGGGUUUGUGGUCUUGCUGACUUCAAGAAUGAAGCCAUGGACCUUUGCGGUGAGUGUUACAGCUCUUAAAGGUGGCACGGACCCAAAGAGUGUGUAGCAGCAAGAUUUAUUGUGAAAAGCGAAAGAACAAAGCUUCCACAGCAUGGAAGGGGACCCGACCAGGUUGCAGCUGUUGGCUGGGGGUGGUCAGCUUUUCUUUCCUUAUGUGUCCCUGCCCAUGUCCUGCUGAUUGGUCCAUUUUACAGAGUGCUGAUUGGUCCAUUUUACAGAGUGCUGAUUGGUCCAUUUUACAGAGUGCUGAUUGGUCCAUUUUACAAACCUCUAGCUAGCUAUAGAGCACUGAUUGGUGCAUUUUUACAGAGCACUGAUUGGUGCAUUUUACAAACCUCUAGUGAGCUACAGAGCGCCAACUGCUGCGUUUUUACAGAGCACUGAUUGGUGCAUUUUACAAGCCUCUGGUAAGACAGAAAAGUUCUCCAAGUCCCCAUUCGACCCAGGAAGUCCAGCUGGCUUCACCUCUCACCAGUACUUGUGUUACAAAUACUGAUUCAAAGCUACAAUAAUUUGAUUAUGGUUCAGGAAUAGGCAGAUAAACAGAAAAGAAA